GACAGAGGUCUCGAGCGUUAGGCGGAAUCACUGGGCUUAAAGCGUGUGUAGGUGGAUGCCUAAGUACCUUGUGAAAUCCCACGGCUUAACCGUGGAACUGCUUGGUAUACUGGGGUGUCUUGAGCCAGCUAGGGGCUACCGGAACAAAUGGUGGAGCGGUGAAAUGCGUAGAGAUGUGGAGGAACACCGAUGGCGAAGGCAGCCCCCCUGGGCUGAGAUUGACGCUCAGGCACGAAAGCGUGGGGGAGCAAACAGG
rnacentral:rRNA from 1 species